rnacentral:rRNA from 1 species
GGGUUGUGAGGUUAAGCGACUAAGCGUACACGGUGGAUGCCUAGGCAGUCAGAGGCGAUGAAGGGCGUGCUAAUCUGCGAUAAGCGUCGGUA